rnacentral:rRNA from 1 species
GUGGGGAAUAUUGGACAAUGGGGGCAACCCUGAUCCAGCAAUGCCGCGUGUGUGAAGAAGGCCUGCGGGUUGUAAAGCACUUUCGGUGGGGACAAAAAGCGUUGCACUAACACUGCAAUGUUUGAUUUAACCCAUAGAAGAAGCACCGGCUAACUCUGUGCCAGCAGCCGCGGUAAUACAGAGGGUGCGAGCGUUAAUCGGAAUUACUGGGCGUAAAGCGCACGUAGGCGGCGCACUAAGUUGGAUGUGAAAUCCCCGGGCUUAACUUGGGAAUUGCAUUCAAGACUGGUGUGCUGGAGUGUGGGAGAGAGAAGUGGAAUUCCAGGAGUAGCGGUGAAAUGCGUAGAUACCUGGAGGAACAUCAGUGGCGAAGGCGGCUUCUUGGCCCAACACUGACGCUGAGGUGCGAAAGCGUGGGGAUCAAACAGGAUUAGAUACCCCAGUAGUCC